AACAGUUUAAAGAGCAAGAAAAGUUUAAAAGAAAUUGCAUUGAAUGUUAAUGACACUGUUUUGGUAAAACAGGUCAGGUUUAUUGCUUGAGUGAAAACCCCCUUUGUGGAUUUGAGAUGGCGAGCCACCCAAACUUGAAUUUUGAUUCCUGAACCUGGAAGGAUACAUCUUUGCUGUGACACGUGGACAAUUCGUUGCAUCAAUUAUUCGUUACGUCAACUUUUCUUCAGCUGGGAGGACAUCUCUUUUUUGCAGGACACUUGUUUGAACUGAAACUGGUCCAUUGCUCCAACUUACGUUGAGGUCACUUGUUACACAAGUUAAAAGUGGAACCAACUGGAGUGUUCACAUCCUGAGGUUGGAGGACGUCCUGCUCCAGCUGUUCUUCAGCAGCGGGGAGGACUUCAGAGGCUGUAGAUUCAUGAUGGUCAUGGAUAGGGAUGGGCUGUAGAGAAUUGUGAUUUUUAAAGAGGGGAAUAUUAAUAACAUGAAUUAAACAUGAAUUGAGCUAACAAAACACACCUGGGGAGACUAAUCAAGGGGGAAAACUACAAACUGACUACAAACAUGGCACAGGAAACACUUCAACAUCACUUCAACAAGUCCAGACAUGACACAGGGAACAUAAAACACUUCUGAUGCCUGACACCAAUUUUCUUUUGACCCAGGACCUUUUAGUAGCGGGAAUCUUACAGGAGGUUCUUGAUAGGAAAAACAUAUCAGCAUAACAGGGAUCAAUGAACCAUUUCACAUUUGUGGGGUUUUCAGAAGAGGUCAUAGUUGGAUAAACUUUGAAGAGCACACUUGAAUAAACUUCUUGUCACCCCUAAAACCUUGUAGUGCCUAACUUGCCAUGAAAAAAAAAUAUGUUAAAGAGUUUUAAGCCACCCUGCUGGACUCGCUUGCAUGAAUUAUAGACUUUAUACUUGAGUCAAGCAUGCCAGCCUGAAAAUCUUCCCAUUGAACUUCCCAAGCUGUUCUGUUUGUUGUGAGGCAACUUAUAAAUAGUUCCAAGACAUGAGCCAUUGAGAGCAGGAAUGCAAGACCCUUUCUACCCAUCAGGCCACAGAAGGACCCAGGAAAGC
rnacentral:lncRNA from 1 species